rnacentral:rRNA from 1 species
GACGAACGCUGGCGGCGUGCCUAAUACAUGCAAGUCGAGCGCAGGAAACUGACGGAACUCUUCGGAGGGAAGGCAGUGGAAUGAGCGGCGGACGGGUGAGUAACACGUAAGGAACCUGCCUCAAGGAUUGGGAUAACUCCGAGAAAUCGGAGCUAAUACUGGAUAGUUCAUCGGACCGCAUGGUCCGCUGAUGAAAGGCGCUCCGGCGUCACCUUGAGAUGGCCUUGCGGUGCAUUAGCUAGUUGGUGGGGUAACGGCCCACCAAGGCGACGGUGCAUAGCCGACCUGAGAGGGUGAUCGGCCACACUGGGACUGAGACACUGCCCAGAAUCCUACGGGAGGCAGCAGUAGUGAAGCUUCCACAAUGGGCGAAAGUCUGAUGGUGCAACGCCGCGUGAGUGAUGAAGGUUCUCGGAUCGUAAAACUCUGUUGUAAGGGAAGAACACGUACGAGAGUGAAUGCUCGUACCUUGACGGUACCUUACGAGAAAGCCACGGCUAACUACGUGCCAGCCGCCGCAGUAA